rnacentral:rRNA from 1 species
UAAAGGUAGAGUGAUGCUUUAGAAGAAAGUAGUAGGUUGAGAAGAAGUCAAACUACUUCGAAGAAGUGUCGUUGAUCGACGGGCAGAACUUCGAGACGGAAUAUCUGAAACGGCAUAGGAGGACAAGGUUACUACAUGAAUAGUAGCUUCAGAAGACAACGGGAAUGUUAUAGCAGUUUACGAUUAGAAGGUAGUUUUAAGGUUUGUCUCUUAUCAAGGGAACGAAGUCCUCAUUGUGAAAGAAGUCCAAAUAAGAACAAAGCCGAUUCGUAAUAAUGCUGUUGUUAACGUGGUUAUUACGGCUUUGGGUGGUGUUCUUGUUAACCUUUUUCGUGUAAAUUACAGAAAGCAAAUACCACUGGUAGAUGACCUCAACUUAUUGUUCCACCGUCCGGUCUCUCUAAUGGUGUGUCUGGAAACAACCCUUCUUUGGUUGAACGACUUCGUAAAACCUCAUCAGCACAAUAACCCUAACCAGGAAGGUUCCGUAACAUCCUGUGUAGCUCACAACUUUCCGAGUUGUACGAACGUUUCCUCCUACCUUACGACGGUGACUUGACUAAUACCCUAUUUAAGUCUUUAAGAUCGUAAGGGUUGAAGGGUUCAACGACGCCGUUAUACGGUGACUCCAAUAACAACGAGUGUAGAUUGUACUAGACGUCUGGGCGAUUGAAAGGUUAGCAUGGUCCGUUUGAGGGUCACUUUUUCAACAACAACUAGAAGUUCCUAACAUCCACAUACGUCCGGGGAUCAAGGAGUCCAUAAUUAGGUGGGUCAGAUAAGGGUCUUUAUAGAUUUAUAGGAUCUAACGAAUCAAAAAGAUAGACACAUCCAUCCCUAGGUCUAUUCACCAAGCUACUAUUCAAGUCGUACAUGUCUAAUCAAUUUCACAUAUUAAGAACACCUUAAAAUGGCAACUCUACUAAUAUUAGUUCAAAAUCAUGAGGAUCCAAUCUGUUAAAUCUUUCCUAACCUCCAUACCUUGGGCACUAGUAUAAAAACGAAUCUCAAUCCCGUCAAUCGACCCAUGUACGUGGAUCUAAACCACUCUAGACGGGCCACUCAGAUAAACUACGGUUCGCGUAGUCACACUCAACACCUAUGUGUGGUUUUACGGAUCAAUAUAGAGGACAAUCAACCAAGAAAAGUUACAAUUAAAAUUCGUCUGAUCAUGUACAGAAAUUUGAAGAACCUUACCCCGGUCACUUGUAUAAUCUAACCUGUCACUCUUAAACUUCAGACGGUGGACUUGUAUAUAAACGCCCAUUUCCAGGAUUCUCACUCAACAAUCGAUUGGGUUCUAACAGUUCCGAAUACUCUAGAGGCUUAAGCACUCCUUCUCUUGGACUAUUAAACAAUAGUAUGUAAACGUCACAAGCCUGCGAAACGUUGAAGGGUUUUCAAAAACCAUAACUAGGCCUUUAAACCAAGACCACGUUCCGAUUCCUAAACUCCAAAUAGUCUAACGGUUAAACGACCCCCUACCUUGGUGAAUAGACUAAAAGUAUCUCCACAUCAUGAUGAUCGAACCAAUAUAAAGGAUCCGACAGUCCUUAUCUCGGUCUAUAAACCAACAGCUUAUUCUGAUUUCUGACCUCUAAAUCGUUCAACGGGUUGAGACUUCCAUAACCUGGGCACUAAACUAAAAGUUUCUCUUUUUAACGCAAUUAGAAUCACUCUAAUCAAUAUCUCUAACCUUAACCUGGACUUUUUAUUAAACUUAGUUCGAGUUCUUAAACGUCUACCUGAUCGGCAGGAUCAAGAACCCCAUAUCCGGGACUCUCAACUAAUGGUUUGUCCAUGUUUGGUUAAUCGACCCAGUCUAAAGGUUCCCAAAAACCAUACUACGGCGAAUUCCACGACAACGAAUCGACAUCUAAAACAUCCAAAUGUUCGGCAGGUUAGAGGAGACCUUAACCUGGACUAUGGUACCAAACCACUUACCGUUCUUUUCAAUUGUAACAAUCCAACGGGUCUCUACGUCCCUAUAAAGGACACUCCAACAAUUUACUCUCUCUUUCGACGGACUCUGAAACGUCCGGUGGUUAGAGUAUUCCUUAAAGGGGACACUCGACCAAGACGAAUUCCAAUUCUAGUCUUUCACGACUGUCUCUCGACUAUAAUCGCC